GAUGAACGCUAGCGGCAGGCUUAACACAUGCAAGUCGAGGGGUAUAGGUUUUCGGACCUAGAGACCGGCGCACGGGUGCGUAACGCGUAUGCAAUCUACCUUUCACAGAGGGAUAGCCCAGAGAAAUUUGGAUUAAUACCUCAUAGUAUAGCAGUUUCGCAUGAAACCACUAUUAAAGUUCCAACGGUGAAAGAUGAGCAUGCGUCCCAUUAGCUAGAUGGUAAGGUAACGGCUUACCAUGGCUACGAUGGGUAGGGGUCCUGAGAGGGAGAUCCCCCACACUGGUACAGAGACACGGACCAGACUCCGACGGGAGGCAGCAGUGAGGAAUAUUGGUCAAUGGACGCAAGUCUGAACCAGCCAUGCCGCGUGCUGGAUGACGGUCCUAUGGAUUGUAAACUGCUUUUGUACGAGAAGAAACAUUCCGACGUGUCGGAACUUGACGGUAUCGUAAGAAUAAGGAUCGGCUAACUCCGUGCCAGCCGCCGCCGUAACAC
rnacentral:rRNA from 1 species